CAAGCUUAAGGUGCGCAAAGAUGGCUGUACUUGGACGUUCACUUCGUCGCUUCACCACCUUGGUUCUUUUUCUCUGCCUUUUCACGGGCAGUACAUCCUGGAGGAGGAGGCGCGGGGGGUGUACCUGUUCUUGGAACAGUUGGGGGCCGUGGAGCUCGUGUUCCGAGCCAUGUGGAAAUGCAGGCACGAGGACCCGGACCCGCGGCGGCUCGUGCUGUGGUACU